GACGAACGCUGGCGGCGUGCUUAACACAUGCAAGUCGAACGGAAAGGCCCUGCUCUUGUGGGGCGCUCGAGUGCCGAACGGGUGAGUAACACGUGAGUAUCCUGCACUUGACUUUGGGAUAACUCUAGGAAACUGGGGCUAAUACCGGAUAGGAGAUCCUGCAGCAUGUUGGGGGUUGGAAAGAUUCGGCGGUUGGGGAUGGAUUGGAGGCUUCUCAGCUUGUUUGGGGGGUAGUUGCUUACCAAGGCUUUGACGGGUAGCCGGCCUGGGAGAGGUACCGGCGACAAGGGGACUGAGAGACGGCCCAGAAGCCUACGGGAGGCAGCAGGGGGGAGUAUGACACAAUGGGCGGAAGCCUGAUGCAGCAGCUCCGCGUGCGUGAUGACGGCCUUCGAGUGGUAAACCGCUUUCUCCGGUGACAAAGCGUGAGUGACGGUAAUGGGUAAAGAAGCACCGGCUAACUACGUG
rnacentral:rRNA from 1 species